rnacentral:rRNA from 1 species
UACGAAGGGGGCUAGCGUUGCUCGGAAUUACUGGGCGUAAAGCGCACGUAGGCGGAUUGUUUAGUCAGGGGUGAAAUCCCGAGGCUCAACCUCGGAACUGCCUUUGAUACUGGCAAUCUCGAGUCCGGAAGAGGUGAGUGGAAUUCCUAGUGUAGAGGUGAAAUUCGUAGAUAUUAGGAAGAACACCAGUGGCGAAGGCGGCUCACUGGUCCGGUACUGACGCUGAGGUGCGAAAGCGUGGGGAGCAAACAGG